UUAUCGGCACGUUAACGGUGAAUUAUAUGCUGACUUAAAAUUACGCAUAUUUAACAUCUAUUAAUAGUUGUAUUGAAUAAACGGAGCCCGUAUUGUUUGUUCUUGAUGACGUAACCGGUGCUUCGUAAUAAUUUGAUAAUGUGAAAUCGACUUGUAACUUUACACAACGUGGCACCAAUUAUCGGCAGUGUGUGACAGUUAUCGGCACUUUUAAUUGAUUUUUAAUUAAUGACAGUAAUUUCUUUUGCAAGGUGAGGGACAAUGUUGGUAUUAGUGAGCUCUAUCCAUGGAUCACAAAUUCAGUACAAAUUCCUGGUAAAGGUUCAGGCACAUGUAAAGUUUUAAAGGAAGGAGAAACAUAGUUUUGAUCACGUCUGGAUACAGGCAAAACAACAGGGUUUGACACAUCAAGGACAGUUUCUUGGCUAGGGGCUUCUACAACAUCAGAUGACUCAGUACUUUGAGGGACAGCUGGGAUGGAAGGCAGAUUGGCAGAGGUCGGAUUGGCAAGAUUAGCAGAGGGCAGAUUGACAGAGGGCAGAUUAGCAGUACUGGUAGAGGGAAGAUUGGCAAUAUCGGCAGAGGGCAGGGUGGCAAUGGCAGAGGGCAGAUUGGCAAUAUCGGCAGAGGGCAGAUUGGCAAUAUCGGCAGAGGGCAAAUUUGGAGACACAGAAUCUUUACAUUUGGGACUUUGUGUCUCAUCAGCAAUAAUUUUUGAGGGCCCUAAUUUAGUUUCAUCAAUACCUUUAGGAGUAAGUGGAAAUAAACCAGACCUCCUAAAGGCACUGAUACUAUUCUGGAGUGUCGUGACGCUUUCCCAAACAGACUUGAACACUUCAGGGAAGUGAGUUUUUGUGAAAGCUUCCCCCAAGUGAUCCAUUUGCCAAUUUUUCAAAUGCAUACGCCACUUAGACUUCAUUGGGGAAAACAAUCCUAUAUCACAUGCUUGUAAAAUGUGAGUGGCAUUUUCAAGCAGGCAAUAUAGGAUUAUACCAUUCUCUGCACAGAAUGUUGCUGUGGGUAAUGAUAUAUGUGUACUAUGGCCAUCAACAAAAAGUAUUACUGGAAGGGGGAUAUUCUUUGACAUCACAUAUUCAUGGAAAUGAUUAACAAAGGAGGUGAAGAGUUCAUCGUCCAUCCACCCAUUUGCUGAAUGACCAUAAAUGGCCUCAGGAAACCCUGAUAACAGUGUAUCCCUAAACCUUUGGCCAGGAUAAACAAUAAGUGGUGGCAUAUAGUUGCCAAAUGCAUUAAAACAUGCCAUUACAGUUAUUUGACUCUUAUCACUUGAGAUGACUUGAUAAACAUGUUUAGCACCUUUUGGUGCCAGAACUUUAGAGGAUUUGAUGCUGAUUGGAAAGCCACUUUCGUCCGCAUUGAAAAUCC